rnacentral:rRNA from 1 species
GAUGAACGCUGGCGGCGUGCUUAACACAUGCAAGUCGAACGGAAAGGCCCCUGCUUGCAGGGGUACUCGAGUGGCGAACGGGUGAGUAACACGUGGGUGAUCUGCCCUGCACUUCGGGAUAAGCCUGGGAAACUGGGUCUAAUACCGGAUAGGACCACAUUUUGGAUGGUGUGGUGGAAAGUUUUUCGGUGUGGGGUGAGCUCGCGGCCUAUCAGCUGGUUGGUGGGGUAAUGGCCUACCAAGGGGUCGACGGGUAGCCGGCCUGAGAGGGUGUACGGCCACAUUGGGGCUGAGAUACGGCCCAGACUCCUACGGGAGGCAGCAGUGGGGAAUAUUGCACAAUGGGGGCAAGCCUGAGGCAGCGACGCCGCGUGGGGGAUGACGGCCUUCGGGUUGUAAACUCCUUUCGCUAGGGACGAAGCGUUUUUGUGACGGUACCUGGAGAAGAAGCACCGGCUAACUACGUG